GACGAACGCUGGCGGCGUGCUUAACACAUGCAAGUCGAACGGAAAGGCCCUGCUUUUGUGGGGUGCUCGAGUGGCGAACGGGUGAGUAACACGUGAGUAACCUGCCCUUGACUUUGGGAUAACUUCAGGAAACUGGGGCUAAUAUCGGAUAGGAGCUCCUGUUGCAUGGUGGGGGUUGGAAAGUCUCGGCGGUUGGGGAUGGACUCGCGGCUUAUGAGCUAGUUGGUGGGGUAGUGGCUUACCAAGGGUUUGACGGGUAGCCGGCUUGAGAGGGUGACCGGCCACAUUAGGACUGAGAUACGGCCCAGACUCCUACGGGAGGCAGCGGUGGGGAGUAUUGCACAGUGGGCGGGAGCGUGAUGCAGCAACGCCGCGUGCGGGAUGACGGCCUUCGGGUUGUGAACCGCUUUCGCCUGAGACGAAGCGUGAGUGACGGUAAUGGAUAAAGAAGCACCGGCUAACUACGUG
rnacentral:rRNA from 1 species